rnacentral:rRNA from 1 species
UACGAAGGGGGCUAGCGUUGCUCGGAAUCACUGGGCGUAAAGGGUGCGUAGGCGGGUCUUUAAGUCAGGGGUGAAAUCCUGGAGCUCAACUCCAGAACUGCCUUUGAUACUGAAGAUCUUGAGUUCGGGAGAGGUGAGUGGAGCUGCGAGUGUAGAGGUGAAAUUCGUAGAUAUUCGCAAGAACACCAGUGGCGAAGGCGGCUCACUGGCCCGAUACUGAUGCUGAGGCACGAAAGCGUGGGGAGCAAACAGG